UGCAGGUUUUCAGAGCUGUGUGG
rnacentral:miRNA from 1 species